GAUGAACGCUGGCGGCGUGCUUUAUGCAUGCAAGUCGAACGGUCUCGAUUUAUCGGGAUAGUGGCAAACGGGUGAGUAACGCGUAAGUAACCUGCCCUUAAGUGGGGGAUAACCCUGGGAAACUGGGGCUAAUACCGCAGUGGUGACAGUAUGAUGUUCUGUCACUAAAGCCUUCGGGUGCUUAAGGAGGGGCUUGCGUCCGAUUAGCUAGUUGGUAGGGUAACGGCUUACCAAGGCGAUGAUUGGUAGCUGGUUUGAGAGGACGGUCAGCCACACUGGGACUUAGACACGGCCCAGACUCCUACGGGAGGCAGCAGCAAGGAAUUUUGUGCAAUGGGCGAAAGCCUGACACAGCGACGCCGCGUGGGGGGUGAAUGCCUUCGGGUUGUAAACCCCUUUUCUCAGGGAAGAAUAAUGACGGUACCUGAGGAAUAAGUCUCGGCUAACUACGUGCCAGCAGCCGCGGUAAUACGUAGGAGGCGAGCGUUAUCCGGAUUUAUUGGGCGUAAAGAGGGCGCAGGCGGCUUUUCAAGUCGGAUGUAAAAUCUCCCGUCUCAACUGGGAGGGAUCACUCGAUACUGUUGAGCUAGAGGGCAGUAGAGGGAGGCGGAAUUCCCGGUGUAGUGGUGAAAUGCGUAGAUAUCGGGAGGAACACCAAUGGCGAAGGCAGCCUCCUGGGCUGUUCCUGACGCUGAGGCCCGAAAGCGUGGGGAGCGAACAGGAUUAGAUACCCUGGUAGUCCACGCUGUCAACGAUGGAUACUAGGUAUGGGGAGUAUCGACCCUUUCCGUGCCGAAGCUAACGCCUUAAGUAUCCCGCCUGGGGAGACGGCCGCAAGGCU
rnacentral:rRNA from 1 species